UACGUAGGGGGCAAGCGUUGUCCGGAAUUAUUGGGCGUAAAGAGCUCGUAGGCGGUCUGUCGCGUCUGCUGUGAAAAUCCAGGGCUCAACCCUGGACCUGCAGUGGGUACGGGCAGACUAGAGUGCGGUAGGGGAGGCUGGAAUUCCUGGUGUAGCGGUGAAAUGCGCAGAUAUCAGGAGGAACACCGGUGGCGAAGGCGGGUCUCUGGGCCGAUACUGACGCUGAGGAGCGAAAGCGUGGGGAGCGAACAGG
rnacentral:rRNA from 1 species